AACAAACGCUGGCGGCAUGCCUAACACAUGCAAGUCGAACGAAGUCUUCGGACUUAGUGGCGCACGGGUGCGUAACGCGUGGGAAUCUGCCCUUGGGUGCGGAAUAACUUCUCGAAAGGGAUGCUAAUACCGCAUAAUGUCGUAAGACCAAAGAUUUAUCGCCCAAGGAUGAGCCCGCGUAAGAUUAGCUAGUUGGUGGGGUAAAAGCCUACCAAGGCGACGAUCUUUAGCUGGUCUGAGAGGAUGAUCAGCCACACUGGGACUGAGACACGGCCCAGACUCCUACGGGAGGCAGCAGUGGGGAAUAUUGGACAAUGGGCGAAAGCCUGAUCCAGCAAUGCCGCGUGAGUGAUGAAGGCCCUAGGGUUGUAAAGCUCUUUUACCAGGGAUGAUAAUGACAGUACCUGGAGAAUAAGCUCCGGCUAACUCCGUGCCAGCAGCCGCGGUAAU
rnacentral:rRNA from 1 species